rnacentral:rRNA from 1 species
GAACUGAAGAGUUUGAUCAUGGCUCAGAUUGAACGCUGGCGGCAGGCCUAACACAUGCAAGUCGAGCGGAUGAAGGGRGCUUGCUCCUGGAUUCAGCGGCGGACGGGUGAGUAAUGCCUAGGAAUCUGCCUGGUAGUGGGGGAUAACGUCCGGAAACGGGCGCUAAUACCGCAUACGUCCUGAGGGAGAAAGUGGGGGAUCUUCGGACCUCACGCUAUCAGAUGAGCCUAGGUCGGAUUAGCUAGUUGGUGGGGUAAAGGCCUACCAAGGCGACGAUCCGUAACUGGUCUGAGAGGAUGAUCAGUCACACUGGAACUGAGACACGGUCCAGACUCCUACGGGAGGCAGCAGUGGGGA